UACAGAGGUCUCAAGCGUUGUUCGGAUUCAUUGGGCGUCAAGGGUGCGUAGGCGGCGCGGUAAGUCGGGUGUGAAAUCUUGGAGCUUAACUCCGAAACUGCAUUCGAUACUGCCGUGCUUGAGGACUGGAGAGGAGACUGGAAUUUACGGUGUAGCGGUGAAAUGCGUAGAUAUCGUAAGGAAGACCAGUGGCGAAGGCGGGUCUCUGGACAGUUCCUGACGCUGAGGCACGAAGGCCAGGGGAGCAAACGGG
rnacentral:rRNA from 1 species